UACGUAGGGGGCAAGCGUUGUCCGGAAUCAUUGGGCGUAAAGAGCGUGUAGGCGGUCCGGUAAGUCGGUUGUGAAAGUCCAGGGCUCAACCCUGGGAUGCCGACCGAUACUGUCGGACUAGAGUUCGGAAGAGGCGAGUGGAAUUCCCGGUGUAGCGGUGAAAUGCGCAGAUAUCGGGAGGAACACCUAUGGCGAAGGCAGCUCGCUGGGACGGUACUGACGCUGAGACGCGAAAGCGUGGGGAGCGAACAGG
rnacentral:rRNA from 1 species